rnacentral:rRNA from 1 species
GCAGGGUUGUCGCUGACCUUUCCAAAAGGUCGUGCACGCCCGAGCGCUCUCAAUCCAUUUCACCCCUUGUGCAUCACCGCGCGGGGUCGCUCCCUCUUGGCUCGCUUCGAGAGGGGGAGGCUCGCGUUUUUCACACAUAAACACCCUUCUGGUUUAGAAUGUCAUUCAUUUGCGAUCACACGCAAUCAAUACAACUUUCAACAACGGAUCUCUUGGCUCUCGCAUCGAUGAAGAACGCAGCGAAAUGCGAUACGUAAUGUGAAUUGCAGAAUUCAGUGAAUCAUCGAAUCUUUGAACGCAUCUUGCGCCCCUUGGUAUUCCGAGGGGCACACCCGUUUGAGUGUCGUGAAAUUCUCAAACCUUCUUGGUUUCUCGAUCAAGAUGGCUUUGGACUUUGGAGGCAUUUUGCUGGCUUUGCGAAAAGCCAGCUCCUCUUAAAUACAUUAGUGGGGUCCCCUUUGCCGAUCCCCAGGCGUGAUAAGAUGUUUCUACGUCUCGGGAUUUGCUCUGUUCCUUGGGAACCCGCUUAUAACCGUCUCAUGGGAGACAUCGUUCGAGCAUGCUCGACCCACGAACCUUGACCUCAAAUCGGGUGAGACUACCCGCUGAACUUAAGCAUAUCAAUAAGGCGGGAGGAAA